CCUACGGGGGGCUGCAGUGAGGAAUAUUGGUCAAUGGGCGAGAGCCUGAACCAGCCAAGUCGCGUGAAGGAAGAAGGUUCUAUGGAUUGUAAACUUCUUUUGCAGGGGAAUAAAGGACGGUACGUGUACUGUUUUGUAUGUACCUUGCGAAUAAGGAUCGGCUAACUCCGUGCCAGCAGCCGCGGUAAUACGGAGGAUCCGAGCGUUAUCCGGUUUUAUUGGUGUUAAGGGGUGCUGUGAUGGCAGUGUAGAAAGUUUUCAGCUCAACUGAAAAAUUGCCGUUGAAACUGUCGAUCUUGAGUGCAAAUGAGGUAGGCGGAAUGUGUUGUGUAGCGGUGAAAUGCUUAGAUAUAACACAGAACUCCGAUUGCGAAGGCAGCUUACUGGGAUGCAACUGACACUGAUGCACGAAAGCGUGGGUAUCAAACAGGAUUAGAUACCCGGGUAGUC
rnacentral:rRNA from 1 species